CUAAUACUCCCUCCGUUCCGAAUUACUUGUCGCAGAUAUGGAUGUAUCUAGAUGUAUUUUAGUUCUAGAUACAUCCAUUUCUGCGACGAGUAAUUUGGAACGGAGGGAGUAGUAC
rfam:Triticum urartu cultivar G1812 contig492842, whole genome shotgun sequence.